UUCAAGUUUGUAAACUAAUCCAAUUUUGGGUUUUUUCAGCUUGUUGCGGGACUUUUGGGUGUGGAAUCCGGUCAAGAUGCUAUAAUCAGAGGGUUAUUAUACGAGAGGCUAAAUACGACAGUAAGACCUUAUGAGAUAACAAUUGCAGAGUUCACUGAUCGCAUAUCUAAUCUAAGGAACAAGCUUGGUGGAGCAGGGUUGAAAGAUGAAGGCCUUGUGGUUCCUAAAGAACUGGGUGCCGAAGGCAAGAUCGAGGGAAAUACACUUGCAGGAGACAAAUACUCGGUUUCCUAUGAAAGGACACCUGAAGAAAUUCUUAAAAUUGUCUAUGGAACUGGAAAUGAAUCAAUUCCUGGUGGUUUUUAUCCAAAGGGAGCUAACGGUGCCAUUGCGAAAUCUUAUUUAUCUACCGCAAACUACUAAAAGUGGGAAACCUGACAGUUUUAAGUUACCACUGUCAAUUUAAGCAACUAUCUUGUGUGAUUAAUGUUGUUCUUUUGAGUCGAUAAUUAUGUCAUUUCAUAUCUUCUACGUAUCUUGUCUUUUUGACUAUUUAAUCCUACUCGUUUAUAAAUGUACAAGUUGUCAUAUAAAUAAUUCGAGAUAACCAAUAAAGUUAAGAAUCUGCAUUAAACAUAUAAAAAUUUCAUAUUCACAAUUCAACCAUUUGCGACACAAAAAUAAAAAGGGCAACCGUAAAGUUUGAUGCGCUUAAAACCAUAAUGCACUUGCAAUCAGGUACUUUUAAUUGUUGACUCAGUCAAUCAACAAGGGCUACAAAUCUGUACACAGCUAAAAGUUGAUGACUAACAAAAGGCUUUUGGCCACGUUUGCAUUCAUAUAUGAAGUAAAGAUCUUGGCAGAUUGCACAUCAAAUUGAUUUUAUGUAGUCUCAAUAAAAAAUUUUAUAUAUACCAUGAGUUUUUAUGCAUAAUUUUAUUGAACAUUUCUGUAAGAAUUUAAAGUUACAAUUUUUUUUCAAUACUAUAAUGUAGAUCUAGUAAAAAAAAAAAGUGCGGCAUUUUUCAUGUUUCUUAGACAAAUUUCAAUUUAUGAUUUUUAAUACGAUUGAAUUGAAGAAUUCUCAAAUAUAAUGUUAAGAGUCCUUUGCUAUUCGAAAUUCUUCCAUUGCUAACCAUAGCCUUUUGUAUUCUUUUAAGUUUUUCUUCUUAUUAAGUCGGUAGAUUCUUUCUCUUCUUUUUCUCUUUUUUUUACCCAAAAAACAUCAACCCUAUUUUAAUUAGAGCUAGAUUUCAUAGGUUUUUUUUUUUUAAAUUAAUUUCCCUAACCGCAUUAAGUAUGCACCACUAAGUUUCAUAUUUAUUCCCUAAUUUACGCAAAUUCAAAAGACAAAUUAUUCCAAUAUACUUGCAAAUUCAAUACCCUAAUUUUUUGAGGUGAAAAAUAUUUUGAGCUAUUAACUGCAAUUUUUUAGUUUAUUUUUCUUAAAAUAUAUAAUCAACUUAGUCGGAUUCAAACAAAAAAAAAAUUCAUUGAAACAGACUCAAUUUCGAUGUUAUGAUUAUCUAAAGUUUUAAAUACCAAAAAUUAUAUGGUUUUGUAGGUCAUGUUAAAAGCGUAUUUUUACUUUGCAUUUGGCAUGCCAAAAGUAUUUUGAGUUGUACUCCUUUGGUUGCACAAAUGCUUUUAAAGCACAAAAAUCAAAGCCGAAAGUUCAACCAAAUGGGGUCUAAUAUAUAUUUAUAUAUGUUAAUUAGGUAAAUACUAUUUGUAGCAUAUAUUAUUAAUUAAUUUAUUUUGUUAAAUAGGUCAUGAAAAGAUUGUAUUUUUCAUUGAUAAGUAAGAUAAAAGAGUUUUUCCUUUUAGAGACACAAUACAACCUAAAAAGGAAAAUAAAUUUACAGUUAUAAAUAUACAAAAAUAAACCUUGAUUUCUAGGAAGAAAAUCAUAUCCCCGUAAUUAUAAAAUAUACGGUCAUGGAUUCUCAACACUCUCCUUCAAGCUGCCUGAAAGUCGUCAUUAAUAGCCAGCUUGUUCACCAAUUUUAUCAAAUUGCUUCUUCAGUAAGCCUUUAGAGAGUACUGCUACUUGUUCAAACAUAGAAAUAUAGGACAUAACAACGAACCCAAUUUCCAAUUUCUCCUUAAUAAAGUAUGUGUUAACUUCAAGAUACUUAGUUCUAUCAUGGAGUAUUAGAUCAUGUGCUAUUGCAAUGGUGACUUUAUUAUCACAAAAAACUUCCAUGGAUAAGGGACUAGUAGCUUUUAAGUUCUUCAAGAAACUAUUUAAUCCAUAAAGCUUCACAUAUACAAUGUGCCACCAUCGUAAACUCUGCUUCAACACUAUUUCUAGCCACCAUAUUCAGUUUUUUCUAAGCCAAGUUGUAAGAUUUCCUCUAACAAAAGUACAAUACCCGAAGUUGAUCUUCUGUUUUACUUCCUUUGAAUCAUGGGCAAAGGCUCCCUUCGCUAGGGUCAUACCUACACAUGAAUGGAUGAAUUAUUGUCAUAUCUUAAAUUUGUAAUCAAAUCAAAAUGAUCAUCAUUUCUUUAAUUUACUUGCCAAAACAAUAUAUUUCAAGCCAAAAGAAAAAGAACACCCUAAUAAUUAAUUUUGACUCCAGAAGGAACCUUACGUGUAAAAAAUAUUCAAUUUCCAUUAUUUUUUUAAUUAUUUUUAUUAUUUACCUUGUAAGUAAUAUACUUGUCUCAUUUACAUAACAAUUAAGUAUUCAAGUCCAAAUCCUCAUGUUCCAUUUCUAAUAGAUAUUGUAAAUAGAGAUAUGUAUAUGUAAGCCUAUAAAUACAUGUGACAAAACACUUCAUACAUCACCAACCACUAAGAAAAAACAAUGGCAGUCACCUUCUUUGCUACAUUGAUCUGUGUUCUUGUUCUGCAAUCCUUCUUCUUAAAGAUCAACUCGAGCCCAUAUGGUUCCGAUGUGCCAAAAGGUGAUAAGGAUUUGUUAGAGUUUCCAUUGAAUCUGGAGUACUUAGAGGCUGAGUUUUUCUUGUAUGGCUCAUUAGGGUAUGGGUUGGACAAGGUUGCUCCCCAGUUGACUUUGGGAGGCCCUGCUCCUAUUGGUGCCAAAAAGGCCAAUCUUGAUCCCAUUACAAGAGAUAUUAUAGAGCAAUUUGCAUGGCAAGAAGUUGGACACUUAAGGUAUCGUAUCUGCAUUUUUCACUCUUGAAUUUUGUUUAAUUAUUUGUGUUGAAUUCAUUUGGUUUGUCUUAUCUCAUUCCUUGACUUCUUCCAUUAUUUAAUAUAAAGGGCAAUUAAAUCGACUGUCAAAGGAUUUCCAAGGCCACAAUUGGAUUUGAGUGCAGGGUCAUUUGCCAAGGUGAUUAAUAGUGCAUUUGGGAAGAACUUACAGCCUCCUUUUGACCCCUAUGCCAAUAGCAUCAACUACCUUAUUGCAUCCUAUGCAAUUCCUUAUGUGGGACUUACUGGAUAUGUGGGAGCAAGUCCCAGACUCCAAGGUGCUACUUCAAAAAGGGUAAGCUCCUAAUAUAUAACGAGGAAAGAAAUCAAUAACAUUCUUAAUUCAUAAAUGAUAUUUAAAUCAACUUAUUCUAUAAUUUUUUUCUUUUACUUGUCAAAUAAUUAUCCAAUUAUCUGUUGCAUACAGCUUGUUGCGGGGCUUUUAGGCGUGGAGUCUGGCCAAGAUGCUGUAAUCAGAGGGCUUUUAUAUGAGAAGUCAAAUCUGAAAGUGAUGCCUUAUGGGAUAACAGUUGCAGAGUUUACCAAUCGCAUCUCUGAUCUAAGGAACAAGCUUGGCAAAACAGGGUUGAAAGAUGAAGGCCUUGUGGUCCCUAAACAACUAGGUGCUGAGGGCAAGAUCCAGGGAAAUUCUCUUGCUGGUGACAAAUACUCGGUUGCCUACGAUAGAACACCUGAAGAAAUUCUUAGAAUUGUCUAUGGAAGUGGCAAUGAAGCCACACCUGGUGGUUUCUAUCCAAAGGGAGCUGAUGGUGCCAUUGCUAAAUCUUAUCUACACACUGCAAACCAUUAAUAGUGUGAAACCUGGCUGUUUUAUGUUAUCACCAUCCAUUUAAACAAUUAUGUUUUGUGUAUAAUGUUGUUUACGAUCGUGACAACACUAAACUGAGCCAAUAAUUGUGACAUUUUAUUCCAUUUAUGCAUCUUGAAUUUUGAAUUAUAAACCCUUAUUUAAUCAUAUACAAUAAGCAUCAUUAGUUCUUUUCUUGUAUGAUGUUGACUAAAAAAUCAUUUUCUAAUUAGACUCUUAUCACAGAGAGAACGGUCCAUAGAUGUACAAGUUAUCAUAUAUCUAGACUAAAAUAACCAGUAAACUUAAAAUCUGAAUAAAUAUAUAAGAAUCGUAGGUUCGUAACUCAAAUCACUCGAUUUAGCAUCAACUAUUUUCUAAUUUUAUAUAUUAUCAGUAUAGAGAAGCAAUCAAGAUUGUCAAAUCAUUUUACUCAGGUUGGGAGAAAAACCUUUCAUGGAAUUAUCUGAUGCAAUUAACUCACAGUAACGACAUGCAGAAGAGGAACUUCUACUUAGACCUGUCAAUUUCAAAAGAUUAUAAAACCAAAAAUAAUAUAGUUAAAUUAUAUCUGGAUCAAAUUGAAAUUGCAAAUAAUUUUGGUAAACAAGGUGCUUCGAGCCUGCUAGACAUGGGAAUGAGAUUCCUGUUGGUUUGUUGAUUAAAUAAUUUAUAUUUCUCUAUAUUUCUUACGUGCAUCUGUAAGUUAUUUUGAACUUUUCGAGAAAUGAUCGCGUCAUUUGCAAGAAUGAUAAUUCUUCUAAGUUAAAACUUUUGAGUAUUUCAUUAUCACUUAAAGUCAAGCAUACAGCCCGUGCAUCUUACAGUUGUACAUUUUUUAAGCAAAAAUUUUCAAAUGAAUAAUCUCAUUUCUUUUAAGCAACUUCACUACACAAGAGUCCUAUCUAAAUACCCAUUUUGGGAAUUCUACAACUAAAAUUUAAAACAAGAAAAAGAAUUUACCAGCAUAUGUGGGGGGGUUUGGAUCAUUAUUAUUAUUCUUAUGAUAUUAUUGUUACAAUAAACUUUUGACCUCAAAAAAAAAUAAUAGUAUUAUUAUAAUAAAUUUUAAACUAAUUGUUCAUGAUCGUAAUUAAAGAGUAUUUAUAGUAACCAAAUAUUAUUAUUAGUAUUAUUAUUAUUACAGCUAUUAUCACGUUAUAUCACCAUGAUCGUUAUUAUUAUUAUUAUUACUAUUAUUGUAAACUAUUACUAAUAAAUGAGCCAAUCGUUUUACGUGAAAUACAUGCUAUUUUGUAUUAUUGUCAUUUUAAUCAAAUCAAAAUGACCAUCAUUUCUCUACUUACUAAAACAAUUCAUUUCAAGACAAAAAAAGAAUAUCAUAAUAAUUAAUUUUAACUCCAAAAAGAACCUUACGUAUCCAAAAUUUCUUAUUUCUUGUUGUUCUAAUUAUUUUUAUUAUUUACCCUGCAAGUAAUAUACUUGUCUCAUAUGCAUUACAGUUAAUUAUUCGAUUCCCAAAUCCCCAUGUUCCAUUUCUAAUAGAUCUUGUACAUAGACAUAUGUAUAUGUAAACCUAUAAAUACAUGUGACAAAACACUUCAUACAACACCAACCACUAAGCAAAAACAAUGGCAGUCACCUUCUUUGCUCCAUUGAUAUGUGUUCUUGUUCUGCAAUCCUUCUUCUUAAAGAUCAGCUCAAGCCUAUAUGGUUCCGAUGUGCCAAAAGACGAUAAGGAUUUGUUAGAGUUCCCAUUGAAUCUGGAGUACUUGGAGGCUGAGUUUUUCUUGUAUGGCUCAUUAGGGUAUGGGUUGGACAAGGUUGCUCCCCAGUUGACCUUGGGAGGCCCUGCUCCUAUUGGUGCCAAAAAGGCCAAUCUUGAUCCCAUUACAAGAGAUAUUAUAGAGCAAUUUGCAUGGCAGGAAGUUGGACACCUAAGGUAUCGAAUCCGCAUUUUCCAAUCUUGAAUUUUCUUUAACUAUUUGUGUUGAAUUUAUUUGGUUUUAGUCUUAUCUCAUCCCUUGACUUGUUUCAUUAUUUAAUAUGAAGGGCAAUUAAGACGACUGUCAAAGGAUUUCCAAGGCCACAAUUGGAUUUGAGUGCAAGGUCAUUUGCCAAUGUGAUUAAUAGUGCAUUUGGGAAGAACUUACAGCCUCCUUUUGACCCCUAUGCCAAUAGCAUCAACUACCUUAUUGCAUCCUAUGCAAUUCCUUAUGUUGGACUUACUGGAUAUGUGGGAGCAAGUCCCAGACUCCAAGGUGCUACUUCAAAAAGGGUAAGCCCCUAAUAUAUAACGAGGGAAAAAAUCAAUAACAUUCCUAAUUCAUAAGUGAUAUUUAAAUCAACUUAUUCUAUAAUUUUUUCUUUUGCUUGUCAAAUAAUUAUCUAAUUAUCUGUUGCGUACAGCUUGUUGCGGGGCUUUUAGGCGUGGAGUCUGGCCAAGAUGCUGUAAUCAGAGGGCUUUUAUAUGAGAAGUCAAAUCUGAAAGUGAAGCCUUAUGGGAUAACAGUUGCAGAGUUUACUAAUCGCAUCUCUGAUCUAAGGAACAAGCUUGGCAAAGCAGGGUUGAAAGAUGAAGGCCUUGUGGUCCCUAAACAACUGGGUGCUGAGGGCAAGAUCCAGGGAAAUUCUCUCGCUGGUGACAAAUACUCGGUUGCCUAUGAUAGGACACCUGAAGAAAUUCUUAGAAUUGUCUAUGGAAGUGGCAAUGAAGCCACACCUGGUGGUUUCUAUCCAAAGGGAGCUGAUGGUGCCAUUGCUAAAUCUUAUCUACACACUGCAAACCAUUAAUAGUGUGAAACUUGGCAGUUUUAUGUUAUCACUAUCCAUUUAAACAAUUAUGUUUUGUGUAUAAUGUUGUUGUCGAUCAUGACAACACUAAACUGAGCCAAUAAUUGUGACGUUUUAUCCCAUUUAUGUAUCUUGUAGUUUGAAUUAUAAACCUUUAUUUAAUCGUAUACAAUAAGUAUCAUUAGUUUUUUUCUUGUAUGAUGUUGACUAAAAAAUCAUCUUCUAAAUAUAGACUCUUAUCACAAAGAGACUACUGUAUAAAUGUACAAGUUGUCACAUAAAUAAUCUAAAAUAAUCAAUAAACUUAAAAUCUGGAUUAAUAUAUAAGAAUCUCAAGUUCGCAAUUCAAAUCACUUAAUCUGGCAUCAACCAUUUUCUAAUUUCAUAUAUGAUCAGUAAAGAGAAGUAGUCGAGAUUAUCAAAUCAUUUCACUCAGGUUGGGAGAAACACUUUUCAUGGAAUCAUGUGAUGCAACGAACUCACAGUAACGAUAUGCAGAAGAGGCACUUCUGUUUAUACCUGUCAAUUUCGAAAUAUAUAAAAGAUUAUAAAAAUAAAAGAAUAAUAUAAUUAAAUCAUAUCUAGAUCAAAUUGAAGUUGCAAAUAAUUUUGUCAUACCUAAAUAAAAAAUUUGAAUCAUUCAAGAAAACCCCCCACAAUUUCAUAACCAAGACUCAUUGAUGGCCUUAUAUCAGGCCAAGGCAAAAAGAAAACAUUUACACCCACCUUCAUAGUACUAAUAUAUACUUAUACUCAAAUGUAAUUAACUCCCAAUUUUGUCCUUGCAACAAAUUCUUUCUUUUUUCUCAUAAAAUGAAACUUUUCAUCCGCUCCUUCAUAUAUAUUGAUACUAAAAUUUAGUUACCUCCAAAUUUGUCCUCACAUUAAUGUAGUUCUUGUUUUUCUUCCUCUUAAACCGCUUCAUUGUAGUACUAAUAUACAUCUAAUUAUUAGGUAAAUAAACCAUUUCAUUGUAGUACUAAUAUACAUACAAUAAUUAGGUAAAUAUACCAUUAGUAGCACAUACGUACAAGUUAUUAUAGUUCUUAUUAUUCUCUUAAGUAGUAAUGUUAUUAUCAAUGUACACAAGCCAUUGUCGUAUUAUUUUCACUUUGAUCAAUAAUAAUUUAAUAUAUAAAUGAAUUAAUUAUUAUUAUUAUUAUUAUUGUAUUUAAUAUUCCUAAACUAAAUCAAAAUUUGAUCAAUGUUUCUUCAACUCACAUCCGAAAUUUCCCAUUAAAAUUAUUUACUUUGUAAGUAAUAUAUAUAUAUAUAUACUUUCUUAAUCCAAUCACAUAUCCAAAAUUUACACUUAUUCUUGUUUCAACAAAAUUUCCAACCUUCAUUUGUUUUUACCAUUUAAUCCGUCACCUAAAUAUGGAAAGAUAAACGCUCAGUUAUUUAUUUACGCCGACAAUCUGCCGAACUGGCAAACUUCCCUCCUUAAAUCCUUAUUCACCGAUGAUAAAUAACCACAAUAAGACAGAUACCCACAUGGCAGUCCCACAAUCAGCCAAGUAUUCUAUUCCCAAAAAAUGCAAGUUCCGUUUCAAAUGCAUCUUUGUAUAUUAUACACGUUUACGUAAGCCUAUAAAUACAUAUGACAAAACCCUUCACACACCACCAACCACUAGCCAAAAAGAGAUAAUGGCACUCACCUUCUCUGCUUCAUUGAUCUGUGUUCUUGUUCUGCAAUCUUUCCUCUUAAAAAUAAACUCGCACCCAUAUGGGUCUGAUGUGCGAAAGGGUGAUAAGGAUUUGCUAGAGUUCCCGUUGAAUCUGGAGUACUUGGAGGCUGAGUUUUUUUGCCAUGGCUCAUUAGGGUAUGGGUUGGACAAGGUUGCUCCCGAGCUGACCAUGGGAGGUCCUCCUCCUAUUGGUGCCAGAAAGGCCAAUCUUGAUCCCUUAAUAAGAGAUAUCAUGGAGCAAUUUGCAUGGCAAGAAGUUGGACACUUGAGGUUUUGCAUACGCAUUGUUCAAUCUUCAGUUUUUUUUAAUUAUUUGUAUUGAAUUGCUUCGGAUUAGAUUUUUUACUUCAUUUUCGCGUAGGGCAAUUAAGUCGACGGUCAAAGGAUUUCCAAGGCCGCUGUUGGAUUUGAGUGCAGCAACAUUUGCCAAGGUGAUUAAUAGUGCAUUUGGGAAGAACUUGCGGCCUCCUUUUGAUCCUUAUGCCAAUAGCAUCAACUUCCUUACUGCAACCUACAUAAUUCCUUAUGUUGGACUUACUGGAUAUGUUGGAGCAAGUCCUAGGCUCCAAGGUGCUACUUCCAAAAGAGUAAGUCCCUAGCACAUAACAAAGAAUGAAAACCGUAAUAUUUCUAAUUCAUAAAAUGAUAUAUAGAUCAUAUUAUUUUGUAUCUUCUUUUCAAGUUUGUAAACUAAUCUAAUUUUGGGUUGUUUCAGCUUGUUGUGGGGCUUUUGGGUGUGGAAUCCGGUCAAGAUGCUAUAAUCAGAGGAUUAUUAUACGAGAGGCUAAAUACGACAGUAAGACCUUAUGAGAGAACAAUUGCAGAGUUCACUGAUCGCAUAUCUAAUCUAAGGAACAAGCUUGGUAGAGCAGGGUUGAAAGAUGAAGGCCUUGUGGUUCCUAAAGAACUGGGCGCCGAAGGCAAGAUCGAGGGAAAUACACAUGCAGGAGACAAAUACUCGGUUUCCUAUGAAAGGACACCUGAAGAAAUUCUUAGAAUUGACUAUGGAACUGGAAAUGAAUCAAUUCCUGGUGGUUUUUAUCCAAAGGGAGCUAACGGUGCCAUUGCGAAAUCUUAUUUAUCUACCGCAAACUACUAAAAGUGGGAAACCUGACAGUUUUAAGUUACCACUGUCAAUUUAAGCAACUAUCUUGUGUGAUUAAUGUUGUUCUUUUGAGUCGAUAAUUAUGUCGUUUCAUAUCUUCUACGUAUCUUGUCUUUUUGACUAUUUAAUCCUACUCGUUUAUAAAUGUACAAGU
rnacentral:lncRNA from 1 species